AGAACUAGUGGAUAGUAUACAUUCUGCUGCAAGAAAUAAAUAUUUGUUGAAAUAAUUGAAAAUGUCUGUAUGCACCUGCCCACUUGUUAUAUGGAAAUGAUAACUGGUAAUUUUAGGAAGUAAAUGAAAGUAAAUUGAAUGCCAUGGAAAUGGGUUGCUUGAGAAGUGAGUGUGUUAAAAGAGAGACGGGUGUUGAGAAUGACUUGGCUGGUGCAAAAGUAGUACAGUACGUUGAAGAAGUUUGAUAAUUACAUAUGCAUUACUUGUUACUGUUUGCAUUUUAAGUUUCCUGUACUGGUUUUUUACUUUAAUAACAUUUUGAUUUGAUUUGAAAGUUAAAUGGAGUUGGUGAAAAAGAAGAUAAGAAAUUUAAAGACCAAAGCCAGUGCACAAAUCAAUGUAUGGGUGUGAUGGAAGCAAGGACACAAAGGCACAGAGACGUAUGGAGAAGGUGCUGGUGUAAAGCAGAUAUUAAAACUCUUCCCAUGUCCAAAUAUCCCGCCUUUACUUUCUUUUAUACAGUACACAUCUCUCUUUGCCUAUACUCUACAUUGCACUGCUUGUCCUGGAAAGGAAUAAUAUGAUCGGUAUGUACCUAUGGAAAUUUUUUGGAUAGUCAAAGGCUGCAGAUAGUAGGAAGAGGCUGUUAAGGAAGAAAUUGAAAGUUUUACAGGUUUUUUGCACCAGUUAAAGGUUGCCCUAGUUGCCCUACAAGUUUUUCUCCAACUGCAAAAUAUAAUGGCUCCAAAGAAUAUGGAAAAAUCGUUAGAAUGGUGAAACCAAAAUGGCUACAUAAUACAAUUGCAGACGAAAAUGGAUUACACUCACAUUACACAAAUUGCUCCCUGAACAGUAAAUCAGGGAGCUUGUGUCUUGUUUUGAAAUGUACUAUUGUAGCCCAAAGAUAUAUAUAAGCUAUGAUUCUGCUUUUGUUCAGGGCUGCUCAGAAAAAUGCCAAUGUUUCUGUGGAAACAUGAUAUACACUUUUUGUUGUUUGUAUGCCUAAUAAAAUUGUUGUAUCUUCA